UUUUAGCGUAACUUUUCUCACCUGAGGAUGCAUCUUACCCGCCCGCGUACCCAAGCCAGCUCCGAGCCCGCCGCCCGUCAAUCACACGGCUCAAUCACCAUCGCCUUCCUCCCCUCGACACCACUUGCCAAAUUGUCUCCACCCUCCCUACUCUCGUGUCAUCCCAAUCUCCUACUAUCUUCCGCGGCGGCGCCUCCCUCCUCCAUCUGCAUCGUCCCCUCCAUCUGCUUCGCGUUGGUGGCGGCGGCGGUCCUUGGAACCAGGAGGAGGAGGCUAUGCUGCGGGUGGGCGAUGAGGGACUGCAGCGACGAUGCGCCGCCAUUUCCAUCUGCCUCCAGCCUCGCCUCCCCAUCCACGUCGCCCUUUUCUCCUUCGCCCCAUGAGCGUGUAGUCAAGCCGCUCGACGUCUGCAACGCGGCUAGUGACAGCGUCGACCAGGUGCGCCGCUAGGAGCGCCUCGCCAACAUCGCGGCCUCCAUGCUGCAGGGGCCCACGGAGAUCCACGAGGGCCAGCUCCUCGCGUCAAUGACACCACGGCGACCGGCCAUCGCCUCCACGAGCGUGAGCACGAGCAUGCAGCCGAGGUCGACGAGCGGGGGCGUCCGCACGGCAUGGAUGAGUGGGCUAGCUUCUGUCCUCACCGGCAGGGCUCCUAAGAUGCUACAGCGCGUCGUCCUGUGCAAGACAAAUCACAACAAUGUUGAGCGCUGAGUAGUGACCGGCCAUGGCGGCAAGCACCAUCACGGCGAGGUAACCCCCUCUGCGUUGCUCCGGCAUCCUACCUACCAAGCUUACUCAUGGAUUCUUGUAUUCAUACAGUAACAACUUGCAUCCCGUUCAAAUUCAUUCCCUGCAUCUAAUCUGGAUUGCCCCUUUGUUCUCCAUUGUGUGAUUGGAUUUGUGGCAAGUGCACCAUGGUGUUUAUGGUUUGAUUAAAUUUGCUUCAAUUUAUUGCGCCUUGGCCGACCCGGAAGGUGUUUGUCAGAUUAUCUAUGUGAGGUUUUGCAGCUAUUCACUCAAUCUGAAUUCUAAUUGGCAAAAUUAAUUCCUCUAGAAUACUUUUCUUGCAAUUGUCUUCUAGGUUACCAGCAAUUUGGCGAUUUAGCGGUGAUGAUGAUGCGGUGCCGCCGCUGUCCUCGUCGUCACAUGCGCCGCAGAUCCAUGGCCAUCCUCAUGACAUCAUCCGCGCUUCAGCUGUGAGGAUGCUUAAUUUGGGGAAGACGCCACACGAUCUGUGGGCUCCGUGGCAGCGGGCGGUGGCAGGAUUCGAUGGAGCAGUGGCAGAGCAAGGACCUUCGUCAAGGAGGCGCAAGGUUUAAAUGAUAGGUGAUCAUGGCAGCACGAAGACGGGCCGCCCGUCGAUCCACUCCCCUUUCGUGUGUCAGGUGAUCCGCCUCAUGGCGCCUACUGGCCUUUUCGUCUCUGCGAUCUACUGUGCACUGAUGGAUCAUUCGUGUAUAU